UCUUCUCUAAAGUCAGAUGGGCUCAAUUACUUUAAUUACUCAAGAACUCAGCACGAAGCGUAACAACAUGUUUCCAUUUUACAUUCUGUCAAAAGGAGCGACAACUGAAUGUACAACUCCAUAUUCCAAUACUCGAGGAUGUGUCCUUUUGUAAACUCGUGAUUGAAUUACACGUUGUUGAAGAGAAGCAAGUAUCCGGAUAUUUUUCAGCGGCAGCGUGUAUACACACAUGAUUCGAUACCUUCCCUGUAGAUAGCUCGUCCAACCCGUUUGUCCCAAUCUCCGCUGUACUCAGCUUCGAUCUCGUUUCAUUCCGGUCGUUCCUCCCUUGCGGUGCUGUGUCGAUGACGAUGUAUGUAUAUCAUCUGUCCAAGGUCGCUGUUUGUUUUUUGGACAUUCACGCUUUUCGAUGGAAAAAGUUUACUUCGCCGAUGGACGCAAAUUGACUAAUUUUAC